GUCCGGAACAUAUUAACAUAAAUUAGAAUAUAGUAAUUUAUGUGUCAUUUGGACUGUUGUAAAGCGUUGUCUCAUUGGCACUCAUACCACGUCUUUUUUACGAUUUGAUUAAUUUGGAACUCUCUUUGUAGUUGAAAACAGCAAUUUGUAUUCUGAGAAAUAAAACAAUUUAUUGUAGUUAUUAAUUUCUCAAUGACAAUGUUUCAUUAUUAGUAAUUGCUACUCGAUUAAAAUUU
rnacentral:lncRNA from 1 species